UACACAGGUCUAAUGGUUAGGAUUGCCGCCUUCCAAGCGGCAGGUUCGGGUUCAAUUCCCGGCUGAGUAU